rnacentral:rRNA from 1 species
GACGAACGCUGGCGGCGUGCUUAACACAUGCAAGUCGAGCGGAAAGGCGCUGCUUUUGUGGGGUGCUCGAGUGGCGAACGGGUGAGUAACACGUGAGUAACCUGCCCUUGACGGUGUGAUAACUUCAGGCAACUGGUGCUAAUACCUGAUAGGAGCUCCUGCUGCAUGGUGAGGUUCGGAAAGUUUAGGCGGAUGGGGGUGGACGCGCGGCUUAUCAGCUUGUUGGUGGGGUAGUUGCCUACCAAGGCUUCGACGGCUAGCCGGCCUGAGAGGGUGGACACCCACAAUGGGACUGAGAGACGGACCAGUCUCCUAUGGGAGGCAGCAGGGGAGAAUAUUGCACAAUGGGGGGAAGCCUGAGGCAGCAACGCUGCGAGCGGGAUGACGGCCUUCGUGUUGUAAACCGCAUUAGCCUGUGACGAAGCGUGAGUGACGGUAAUGGGUAAAGAAGCACCGGCUAACUACGUG